rnacentral:rRNA from 1 species
GACGAACGCUGGCGGCGUGCCUAAUACAUGCAAGUAGAACGCACAGUUUAUACCGUAGCUUGCUACACCAUAAACUGUGAGUUGCGAACGGGUGAGUAACGCGUAGGUAACCUGCCUGGUAGCGGGGGAUAACUAUUGGAAACGAUAGCUAAUACCGCAUAAUAUUGAUUAUUGCAUGAUAAUUGAUUGAAAGAUGCUAUUGCAUCACUACCAGAUGGACCUGCGUUGUAUUAGCUAGUAGGUGAGGUAACGGCUCACCUAGGCGACGAUACAUAGCCGACCUGAGAGGGUGGCCGGCCACACUGGGACUGGGACACGGCCCAGACUCCUACGGGAGGCAGCAGUAGGGAAUCUUCGGCAAUGGACGAAAGUCUGACCGAGCAACGCCGCGUGAGUGAAGAAGGUUUUCGGAUCGUAAAGCUCUGUUGUAAGAGAAGAACGGGUGUGAGAGUGGAAAGUUCACACUGUGACGGUAUCUUACCAGAAAGGGACGGCUAACUACGUG